GUANGGGNGACCUGNGGAAGGAUCAUUAAAGAAAUANUCUCGAGGGCCUUCGGAAAGGAGAGAGGGUUGUAGCUGGCUUAAGCAUGUGCACGCCCUCUUUCUCGACCUAGGUCCUUAUGGGCGCGGGGCGACCCGCGUCUUCAUAAGCCCCUUCGUGUAGAAAGUCUAUGAAUGUUUUUACCAUCAUCGACUCGCGACUUCUAGGAGACGCGAUUCUUUGAGACAAAAGUUUAUUACAACUUUCAGCAAUGGAUCUCUUGGCUCUCGCAUCGAUGAAGAACGCAGCGAAUCGCGAUAUGUAAUGUGAAUUGCAGAUCUACAGUGAAUCAUCGAAUCUUUGAACGCACCUUGCGCUUAUCGGUGUUCCGAUGAGCAUGCCUGUUUGAGCGUCAUUAAAUUCUCAACCCCUCUCGAUUUGCUUCGAGAGGGAGCUUGGAUCGUGGAGGCUGCCGGAGACCUGUUUUUCAGGACUCGGGCUCCUCUGAAAUGUAUUGGCUUGCGGUCGACUUUCGNCNGUGCAUGACAAGGCCUUUGGCGUGAUAAUGAUCGCCGCUCGCCGAAGUGCACGAACGAAUGGUCUCGUGCCUCUAAUCAGUCGACGCC
rnacentral:rRNA from 1 species